GACGAACGCUGGCGGCGUGCCUAAUACAUGCAAGUCGAACGCUUCUUUCCUCCCGAGUGCUUGCACUCAAUUGGAAAGAGGAGUGGCGGACGGGUGAGUAACACGUGGGUAACCUACCCAUCAGAGGGGGAUAACACUUGGAAACAGGUGCUAAUACCGCAUAACAGUUUAUGCCGCAUGGCAUAAGAGUGAAAGGCGCUUUCGGGUGUCGCUGAUGGAUGGACCCGCGGUGCAUUAGCUAGUUGGUGAGGUAACGGCUCACCAAGGCCACGAUGCAUAGCCGACCUGAGAGGGUGAUCGGCCACACUGGGACUGAGACACGGACCAGACUCCUACGGGAGGCAGCAGUAGGGAAUCUUCGGCAAUGGACGAAAGUCUGACCGAGCAACGCCGCGUGAGUGAAGAAGGUUUUCGGAUCGUAAAACUCUGUUGUUAGAGAAGAACAAGGACGUUAGUAACUGAACGUCCCCUGACGGUAUCUAACCAGAAAGCCACGGCUAACUACGUG
rnacentral:rRNA from 1 species